UUUAUAANUUUUUAUUUUAUUAAUUUAUUAUAAGGAAUUAGGCAAAUUUGAUUUCCGCCUGUUUAUCAAAAACAUGUCCUCUUGNAAAAUAUUUUGAGGUCUGGCCUGCUCACUGAGCGAUUUUUUUUUGAAGAGCCGCGGUAUUUUGACCGUGCAAAGGUAGCAUAAUCAUUAGUCUCUUAAUUAGUGGCUGGAAUGAAUGGCUUGACGAGAAAUCAACUGUCUCUUAAUAAGUAAUUGAAUUUAACUUUUGAGUCAAAAGGCUUAAAUUUUUCUUUAGGACGAGAAGACCCUAUAGAGCUUAACAUUUUAUUUUUAUAUAGUUUUUUGAUGGUCUUUCUAUAUUUAAUGAUGAUGUUUUGUUGGGGUGACAUGAAGAAUAAAUAAACUCUUCAUUAUUAUAUCAUUGAUUUAUGUNNNUUUAUUUGAUCCAUAAUUUAUGAUCAUAAGAUUAAGUUACCUUAGGGAUAACAGCGUAAUUGUUUUCGAGAGCUCAUAUCGACAAAGCAGAUUGCGACCUCGAUGUUGGAUUAAGAAAAAUUUUGGGUGCAGUAGCCCAUUAAUUAGGUCUGUUCGACCUUUAAAUUCUUACAUGAUCUGAGUUCAGACCGGCGUGAGCCAGGUCGGUUUCUAUCCUAAGAUUUAUUAAUCCAUAUUAGUACGAAAGGACCAUAUGGUUAAAAUANNUUUUUUANUAGAUNUGAUUAAUAUUAAUUAAUUU
rnacentral:rRNA from 1 species